ACGUCCCAAGAUCACUUAUGGGUUUGGAGAACCUCUCCAAAUUCCCGUGGUGGUUCAUGUUGAGGGUGGGUACCGCUAGGCCACUGCAGCCGAGUCCAAUCGGAGCGCCUAGCCACGGGAACCACCCGCACCACCCCAGCCCCCUGUCCGCCAAGCCUCGAGCCGAGGUCUGAUUAUCGCAUGUGUAGCUCAACGGUAGAGCGCUUGACGUAUAGUCAAGAGGACCGUGUUCGACUCACGGCACGUGCAUUCUAACUCUCCCCCCUCCAGCUGUCCCGUGCCUGACUUGUGUCGUGCGCCAACCUUUGCUCGAGUCGCGGGCUGGCGUUGCAGUACAGGGCAUCUAGCAUGCACGGCGCAGCACUUGUACCCGCGCACUCAUUGGCACUUGCACCAACACUUGCGGCACUCCUCAGCACCCAUCAACACUACUCACCUCAAGUCCUCCGGAGCUCGUUAUCGUAGGAACGGAUUCUCGAUGUUCGUGUACGAUAGGCCCCGGGGGAGCUAUCUGGUGCGUGCGACGCUGAUCUUGAGUCCGGCGCGAACACUUGCUAAGCUACACGCACGGCUGCAUUCAGCCAAAUGCAUUGCUGUUUCAGGGAUCCUGAUGUUACUAUGCACACCCGUGCUUCAGCACGCAUCAUCGGUGCUCCUGUUUCAGUUGUCUCCCCUCAACUCUCCCCCCGUCAUUUUGCCCCACGCCAUCAUCCAUGCUCAUGCGCUCAGGCCACCUGCCACCUCACGCGCAUGAUUGACAAUCCCUCAAUGAACCCCCAGCGUUCCUCAGUAAUGCCUGGACUGUUCCUCUCGACACUCGCCCAUGCAUCCAUCGUCCUGUCACCCCCCAGCAUCCGCCAAGCAUCCCCACAUGGUCUCAUGCACGCCGCAUAGUACAUCAUAUGCAUGCACCAUGAACUUUGCUGUGAACAUAGAUGCUGCAUGCAAGCAAAUGUGAGCUGCUCCUCACAUGCUACGCCCAUCGUGUCUCAUGUGCAUCCCCCAUAUAUAUGCAUCUCCCAUAUGUAAGCAUCCCGCAUAUAUACGCACCCCCCAUUUAUAUGCAUGUAUGUCCUUAUGUGUGCAUGUAUGUCCCUAUGUAUGUCCCCCAUCUAUAUGCAUCCCCCCUAUGUAUGUCCCCCAUCUAUAUGCAUCCCCCCUAUGUAUGUCCUUCGUAUAUAUGCAUCCCCUUAUGUCCCCAAGAUAUAUGCAUCCCCCCUAUGCAAGCCUCGCAUGCCUCCUCAUGCAUCCCCAAGCUACGCUCCCGUUGAAAGUGCUUGAAAACUGUAAUGUCUUCAAUAUUAGCGUACGCGAUAACGUAGGAACAGAAUCGAAAAUUUCCAAAUCCUGCGCUUGCAGCUGAGGGUCUCGGCUGCGGUGACGUGCUCCUUGAGUCCGGCGCUCGCCCGGUGCGACCUGCAGGUUUGAUCUCGCUCGACACUCAUCCAUGACACUCAAGUGGAGUUGAAUUGAUGUGCUCUGAUAGGUGGUUGCAUGGGAGGAGGCAUGCCUCAUCUCGCCAUGGGUGAUGCUUGUACGCAUCUGCCCCUCACAUCUUUUUUUCACAUGCUGCUCUCAUGUGCGUCUAUGCCUUGAUGCUUCAUGUUCCUCACGGGGGCCACAGCUUGUUGACCUCGCAGGAACUCGUCACCUGCGAUCCUUGCCAGUUGAUGUGCUGUGUGCCUCCAAGCGUCUCAUCGGUGCUUCCAAGCGUCUCAUCGGUGCUUGCCUCGCCCCGCUCCCCCCGAGUUGGCUUUGCACGCUCGUCUAUCUUGAGCUUGGCGCAUCUUGAGCUUCAACGCUUCCAGCUCUGUCCGUUCAUGUAUCUCCUGUGGGCGAUGCCCUCGUGUUGUGUGAGUCCUCUUGGGCAUGUGUGUGUGAGUGUGUAUGUGUGGAUGUUUGCCCUCUCUUUGCCUCUUCUACCUACGUGAAAGCCUCCAGUGCUAGGCGUGCCCUGACUGAUCUUGUGAUGCUGCAGCAGCCUUGUGUGCUUGCGACCUGCGCGUGUUGCCUUGUGUGCACCCUUCCCUCCACUUGCCUAGACGCCUCCAUGGUCACCAGGUGGAGGUGGCGUAUCUUCCAUGGUCCCAAAACGCCCGAUUUGAGUUCUGGCUGAGCCCAAACUGCAAGCAACAGUUCUGUGGCCGCGCUGGCCCCAGAGUUGGGUCUUUUUAAAGGGAUUCUUUGUUGGGGCGGGCACAGGAGUUUUGGCAGGGUUUUUGGGGUGAAUAUGUGGGGAAAACGGGAAGGAUUCAGGCGAGUUUUGGGGUGUGAGAGCCCCGGCGGUCCGAGAGUCUCGUUUUCUCGCUGCCUGGCGACCGCGUGAGCCAGUAGCCGGUAGAGAAGCACUCUGCGGCGCGAGGGCGGCAGCCAGGGUGCACACAGCGCACCCCGGCGCCGCCGGCGCCGCACUUCAAUGCAUGCCAUCGCCCAGUGGCGGUGGCGAAGCUCAACCUGGACGGGUUGGGACUGAUGAGAGGCUUGUAUUCAUAACACCAUUGUGAAGUUGGGCCCGAGAGGGCCACCAAGCCACAUCUGCUGUGACACGGCUCGCUCCUGGGCCUCUCAGUUUUGGGAGGCUCGUUGCGGGUGCGACAGCGCUGAAGGAUGUAUCGCGGGAAGCCGGGACUCGUGAAGAGCCCGUACCUUCCGAAUCGCCAUGCAUCCUGAGGAAUUUGUCAGAAGGGCUACAGAGGAAACGUGGGCUCCAGUCAUCAGCGAUGGUGGCUGUGAUCCCACGGCACGAGUACUGCAAAAGCUCAACCCGCUCCGGCGGGCGAGGUGCGGUUCCACUCAGCGCUCGCGCUUGUGGUUCCGCCGCUUAUCGCAGCUACCUGGUUGAUCCUGCCA
rnacentral:tRNA from 1 species